rnacentral:rRNA from 1 species
UACAGAGGUCCCAAGCGUUGUUCGGAUUCACUGGGCGUAAAGGGUGCGUAGGCGGGUCUUUAAGUCAGGGGUGAAAUCCUGGAGCUCAACUCCAGAACUGCCUUUGAUACUGAGGAUCUUGAGUUCGGGAGAGGUGAGUGGAACUGCGAGUGUAGAGGUGAAAUUCGUAGAGAUCAGGUGGAACACCGGAGGCGAAGGCGCCUGCCUGGCAGUGUAUUGACGCUGAGGUGCGAAAGUGCGGGGAGCAAACAGG